UCCGUUGUGGUCUAGUGGCUAGGAUUUGCCGCUCUCAUAACAAGAGCAACAACACUCUAACAGGUGCCGGCAAGGCCGGGGUUCGAUUCCCCGCAACGGAA